CAAUUUUAUGCUUCAAUGUAUCAAAUAACAUCAAGGUCAUGAUGAACAGCUCAGGUCUCAUAGUCUCUUGGUGUCUGAUGGCUAGACAUUCAGUUUCUACCAGGGUCCAGUAAAUGCUUUUCGAAUAGAGAAUAAUUGUCACAGAAGAAGUCCUCAUUACAAACACUAGGAGUCAAGCACCUUUUGGGGCUUGCCAGAGGCUUCAUACAGGAUCUCUGUUUGCUAUACAUGUUUUCAAUACCAUUGGGCCUGCAGCAUCACAAAGCUUUGUAAUGCUUUACAUCACAGACUGGACUUGUUACAGAGCAUUAUUAUGCUCUAAGCUCCACUCAAAGCUGUCAUCAUUAUGAGUUACUCAAUAAACAGGUCAGAGGAGCAUGACCAAAUAUGAUGCAUGUUGUCUACAACACACAAAGAGGCCUGCAAGUGCUGCACUUCUUUCUUCACGGUGGAAGAUGAAAGGCACAGCAAACAGGCUGUGAUUUCAAUGGCAUAAUGCUGAUAAGCACAGACCAUUGGACCCUAGAAACUUCAUCAAUGUGCUAGGCAUCUGAAAUUUAACAGGAUUUGUCCAGUAUCUUCUGACAUGGAUAUAUCUUAAGGAAUAGCCUUCUGCUCCUCAAUUCUUGCUCUGUUGGGUCUGGUGACAGGCCUGGAGACAGGGAGGUGUGCUGGGAAUGAGCCCUGGGAUAAUCAACUUCAGCUUCUGAUGCAGCUGCCCCUCUGAUGACCUUAUCAGGAGAGGGACCAUAGCCCACAGUUGCUGGAAAUCCUGCAGAAACACCGUCCUAUUGAUGUGGGUGAGAAAAGAGAAAAGUGCAGCUCCUGCUGACAUCCAGUCAAAGUGGUACCCCCCCCCCUUUUGAGUAUAUCUCUGACCACUUCUUUUUUUUUCCUUCUUUUUUUGUCAAGCAACAAAACCGCUAACAGUGAGGUGCUAUGAUAAAGGGCAUGAGCUUUGGAGUCAGACUCUCCUGGAUCCAAAUCCAGCUGUAAUAUGACUAGCUGUGUGAAUCAUGUAAAAAAAAAAAAUCCUCAAGCCUCAAUCUCUCCAUCUUUAAAAUGGGAACAAUAGUACCUGCUUCAGAGGGUGCUUGUGAAGAUAAAUUUGAUAAUGCACAGAAAACACUUCUUGCAAUGCUCCACACAUAAUACAUCUUUAAUAAAUGCUCGUUCUUCUUCUUCUUAAUUGUGGUUGGAAAAUGCCUUUUUCAUAAACAGAUA